GCAAAUCACGAUUGAGGAAGGCGAGCAGCGGGCCAAGGAGCUGAGUGUGAUGUUUAUCGAGACCAGUGCCAAGACAGGCUACAAUGUCAAACAGCUGUUUCGACGUGUGGCAGCUGCCCUUCCAGGAAUGGAGAGCAUGCAGGAGACAAGCAAAGAAGGCAUGAUUGACAUUAAAUUGGACAAACCACAGGAGCCUCCAACUACUGAGGGCGGAUGUUCCUGUUAAUAGCUCACAUCUGAUUUACAGCAUCAUCUACACCACAUGCUUGUUGUGUUGCUUCCUCUUGGUUAGCUUCCAGUUGUGUUUUCAGAUUGGAUAUUUGGCCUUCCCAUCUGACUUUAGUAACUGGUUGGAAUCAGUGUUACAUCGAUUUCAAUUGUAAAAUAGUAUACUUUAGUAACAAAAUUGCCAAAAAUCUUAAAAAUUCGAAAAGUAAAGGGCAAAAAUCAACAUAGAUGUAGACUAUGUCCAACAUAUAUACUUUUUGAAAAUGUAGAGAGGUAGAUUUUUUUCUUUGUUUUGUAUUUUUGUAUACAAGGAUGAGCACUAAAACAGAUUCAGACAAUAAAUUCUAUAAUUUUGCCAUAAAAAGCAGGAUUUCAAAAGAAAGAGGGCAAUUCAGACUACUAAUAACCCACAAAAUACGGAAAACAUGCAUGUUAGCCAUUUUUAAAAGUAUCAUCUCAAUCCUGCUGUCUACUGUGCACAAGAUUAUGUGAAUGCGUACGUUUUUUUCUGACUCAAUGCACUUCAUGAAAUCAAUUUAUUUUAGCCUUUUUCUUGCUGUGACAAAACUUGAAAUUUUAAGUUUCAGGCCAAGUGAGUUUGUGUAAAUGUGUCAUUUCAGAUCCCUUAAAACCUUUCCAAAUUAUGUGUGAUUUAAAAAAAAUCUGUUUAUGUACAGUUCAUGUCUUAAUUACACGGUUUAUUGAAUGUUUACAGCAUAUUUUUUUCUUUAGAAUUUCCUGUUCACAAUGAAAGCAAACAGCUUGUGCAAACAACCUGAUAACAAGAAAGGAUUCUCUUUCUUUGGUGUAAUGUUUCUUAUUCUUUAACUAAAUUAGGGCAUUUAGUGUAUUGCAGAUAGUCGGAAGACUAUGGACGUGACAGGAUCAAAUCAUGCAUCUAAACUUGGUCAUUCAUUUUUAAUUGAUUAGAAUAAUUCAUUUGCACGCUAGCAGUUUCCACACUGAUUCAUCAAACAGUCCAAUUCUAUUGUAAAUAUCAGCUGUCGCUUCCAAACAGGCUUUAAUUUUAGAAAUGCAAAGAUGGGACAUUCCUUCAAAAAAUAACUGUAGUUCACUUUUAAGAAUUAGCAUUAUGCAGCAUUAUAGUGUUUGCCUUGUGUAGGAACCCACUCAUGUCUACAGCUGCUCUUUGGGCCAGUCAAUUGUAGUGCACUGACCAGGGGGACACAGAUUGUGUAGUAUAUCAAUUUAUUUGAAAUGUAUUUUGUGUGAAUCCUUAAUGCACUUUUUCAAGAAAGGAAGAUGUAAAUGUUUCAUAAUUGCUGUCAAACAUCUGUCCUUGAAACCACUUUAGAGUUCAAACUGGUAGCGUACAUCUCUGUGAAAAUCUCUCGAGGGUCACUGUACAGAUAAACUAUUUGUAAAGUUGCUUCACAUAAUGCCAGAUACGAGUCAAGACUAGCUAUUUGUGACGUCGAGGAAUUGUGAGUAGGAACACAUGACAUUAGCGCCCCGAAUCCAAGCAAAAUGUUGAAAUGCCAAAUUUCCCCUACUAAAUCCAGCAGCAUUUAGUUGGAAUGGAAGGUAAACUCCACUGAAUCGACUGACUCAUCCAGCACAGUAACACCCUUUGCUUUCUGCUUUUGGAUAGUUUGAAAUUUUACAGGGAAAAUUAGAUUUGUCUGUGCCAAUGCUUUCUCACAUCACAGAGCUUCGGAAAGAUGUCACGUAACGGAAGCUGGAUGGGGGUAUUUAUUGGUUUGGUUUACAUUUUGUUUUCUGUCUUCUAAAAAAAAAGAGGUUCUCAUUUGAAUUUAAUGGGGUGCGGAUACGCACCGUGUAUGAAAUCAUAUCAUCAGUGUACCUGUACCGGUAGUCAUUGUAAUUGACACGACGCUACAUCAGCCUUGGGUGAAUGUCUGUGCGUGAGUUAUGCUUUUAAGGGUGCAACCAUUCCCUGUGUAUAUGUUUUAGCUCAGUGGAGCCAGCCUGAUUGAUUCAGAGCUAGCUUUACCAUUCACACUGUAUAGAAAUCUAGCAUGUUGGUCCAAAUCAGUAAAAUCAAUAAAAGUGUCUUA